rnacentral:rRNA from 1 species
AUGCACGCCGAUCAACUAGUACCGGCGGUCGUCGCCGCCGUGGCCGUGGUGUGCCUGCUCAUCACCGGCCGCGUGGACGGCCAGGACGAGUACGCCCCUGGUGGCGCGGCGAGCCAGGAGGUGGAGCCGCUCGCCACGAACCAGAACCCCGGGCAGAUCCUCCCGCAGCCGGAGGUGAUGCCAGUGCCCGGCAAUCUGCUCCCUAGGCCGAGGGCCGCCCUAUCCCGGCCGUACACCGGCGGAAACUCCCGGCAGCAGCCGACGACCGAGCCGGAGCCAGAGACAGAGGCGGAGCAGCAGCCGGAGCAGACGACCGAGCCGGAGCCACAGACGGAGGCGGAGCCGCAGCCGGAGCAGACGACCACGAGGGAACCGGAGCCGGUCACGCCCACGCGCGACCAGGGCGAUUUCUACCGCACCGGCGCGACGCCGACCACGCCAGAGCCGCCGGCGACGCCAACCUCGACGGAGACGUGGGAGACGCCGGCGACGCCGUCUGUGCCCGUGCAGCAGGGUUAUACUUAG